UUUCUCUUCAAGUUGAAUUUUAAUUUUUUAUUUGUUUAAGGUGUUUUAAUGACAGAGAUGGAGAAAGAAGAGAGGAGCCAAAGAGCAUGCAAAACGAUAGAGCCAGAGGUGUUUUUACAGUGGGGGAAUAGAAAGAGGCUAAGAUGUGUGAGAGUUAAAGACCCUCAAAAGGUCUCUCAUAAAUCCAGUGUUGUAAUUCGUAGAAGACUCACUUCUACCAAUUAUAAUCAUGGUCUCACC